UGGCGGACGGGUGAGUAAUGUCUGGGAAACUGCCUGAUGGAGGGGGAGUAACUACUGGAAACGGUAGCUAAUACCGCAUAACGUCGCAAGACCAAAGAGGGGGACCUUCGGGCCUCUUGCCAUCGGAUGUGCCCAGAUGGGAUUAGCUAGUAGGUGGGGGUAACGGCUCACCUAGGCGACGAUCCCUAGCUGGUCUGAGAGGAUGACCAGCCACACUGGAACUGAGACACGGUCCAGACUCCUACGGGAGGCAGCAUG
rnacentral:rRNA from 1 species